rnacentral:rRNA from 1 species
GACAAACGCUGGCGGCGUACCUAAGACAUGCAAGUCGAACGGGUGCGGCGCCCUUCGGGGCGCCGGACGAGUGGCGGACGGGUGAGUAACGCGUAGGAACCUAUCGCACAGUGGGGGAUACCACGGGGAACCGGGUGUUAAUACCGCAUGAGGUCAGCGAUGACCAAAGCAGCAAUGCGCUGUGUGCGGGGCCUGCGUCCGAUUAGCUAGUUGGUGGGGUAAGGGCCUACCAAGGCGACGACGGUAGCUGGUCUGAGAGGAUGGUCAGCCACACUGGGGACUGAGACACGGCCCAGACUCCUACGGGAGGCAGCAGUUAGGAAAUUUUUGCAAUGGGGGAAACCCUGACAGAAGUAACGCCGCGUGGAGGAUGACGGCCUUCGGUU